rnacentral:lncRNA from 1 species
GUGUGGAUCCAGGUGGUUGCAUUGUAAGGUUAAUUAACAUGAUCCCCGAUUUUUCAGACUCUCAUUCAUAUUUUUCUUUAGAAGACAAGGCAUUGGCUUUCAAUGUUGUCAUUAUUUGAUUUAGAUGCAUGACCUUUUUAUAAGUAUGCGUGGGUCUUGAAGUUGACCAAUUUUGGUAACUUAUCGACUUGUAGGAGUUGAUAUUUGCAACUUUUUGAUUCUGGUCAAUCAUUUCUUGCUUAACAAUAUUUGACUUAUUUAAGUCGUAUUUUGUCUUGCAUUAAAGGGAGACAAAUCCUAAAACUUACAAAUUUAGACAUCUAUAAGUCAAAAGCAGAUUCAGACUUAUUUAUGUCUGAGCUCUGACUGUAUAUAGAGAUUU